AUUGAACGCUGGCGGCAGGCCUAACACAUGCAAGUCGAGCGGGAACUUCGGUUCUAGCGGCGGACGGGUGAGUAAUGCGUAGGAAGCUACCCGACAGAGGGGGAUACCAGUUGGAAACGACUGUUAAUACCGCAUAAUGUCUACGGACCAAAGUGUGGGACCUUCGGGCCACAUGCUGUCGGAUGCGCCUACGUGGGAUUAGCUAGUUGGUGAGGUAAUGGCUCACCAAGGCGACGAUCCCUAGCUGGUUUGAGAGGAUGAUCAGCCACACUGGAACUGAGACACGGUCCAGACUCCUACGGGAGGCAGCAGUGGGGAAUAUUGGACAAUGGGCGCAAGCCUGAUCCAGCCAUGCCGCGUGUGUGAAGAAGGCCUUCGGGUUGUAAAGCACUUUCGGUAGGGAGGAAGGAUGUUGUGUUAAUAGCACAGCAUUUUGACGUUACCUACAGAAGAAGCACCGGCUAACUCUGUGCCAGCAGCCGCAGUAACAC
rnacentral:rRNA from 1 species